CUGGGUUUGGCUUCGGCCGUCUCCCACCCUUGUCAUUUGAACUGUCGUUUCGGCGGUUGGCGCGAGCCGCCGCCGGCAGUAACUCUUCAGUAUUAGAAGUCUGAUAACACAAAAAUCAUACA
rnacentral:misc_RNA from 1 species